GAUGAACGCUAGCUGCAGGCUUAACACAUGCAAGUCGAGGGGCAGCGGUAUCGAAAGCUUGCUUUCGGUAGCCGGCGACCGGCGCACGGGUGAGUAACGCGUAUCGAACCUGCCUCAUACUCGGGAAUAGCCUUGCGAAAGUAAGAUUAAUGCCCGGUGUUUUCAGAGUCCCGCAUGAGGCUUUGAACAAAGAUUUAUCGGUAUGAGAUGGCGAUGCGUCCCAUUAGCUUGUUGGCGGGGUAACGGCCCACCAAGGCAUCGAUGGGUAGGGGUUCUGAGAGGAAGGUCCCCCACAUUGGAACUGAGACACGGUCCAAACUCCUACGGGAGGCAGCAGUGAGGAAUAGUGGUCAAUGGGCGGAAGCCUGAACCAGCCAAGUAGCGUGCAGGAAGACGGCCCUCCGGGUUGUAAACUGCUUUUAGUUGGGAAUAAAACGGGGCUCGUGAGCCCCCUUGCAUGUACCAUCAGAAAAAGGACCGGCUAAUUCCGUG
rnacentral:rRNA from 1 species